rnacentral:rRNA from 1 species
GGAGAAAGGUCCCCUUAUAUUUUGGAGAAGGAAAGCCAAAUGUUUAAUACCUGGUUGUUAUGACGUUACCCACAGAAUAAGCACCGGCUAACUCCGUGCCAGCAGCCGCGGUAAUACGAAGGGUGCAAGCGUUACUCGGAAUUACUGGGCGUAAAGCGCGCGUAGGUGGUUGGUUAAGUCGGAUGUGAAAGCCCUGGGCUCAACCUGGGAACUGCAUCGAAAACUGGACAACUAGAGUGUGGUAGAGGGURGCGGAAUUYCYKGUGUAGCGGUGAAAUGCGUAGAUAUCAGAAGGAACAUCCAUGGCGAAGGCAACUACCUGGACCGACACUGACACUGAGGCGCGAAAGCGUGGGGAGCAAACAGGAUUAGAUACCCUGGUAGUCCACGCCCUAAACGAUGCCAACUGGAUGUUGGAUGCCUUUUGAUUUUCAUGAUCCAACUUACCCCUUUAAUUUACCCCCCGGGGAAGAACGGCCCCAGGAUUGAACUUCAAGGAAUUUGAGGG